rnacentral:piRNA from 1 species
UGUGUGUUGGUGGUGAGUGUGCUACUCAAU